rnacentral:rRNA from 1 species
GAAUAUUGGACAACGGGCGCAAGCCUGAUCCAGCCAUACCGCGUGGGUGAAGAAGGCCUUCGGGUUGUAAAGCCCUCUUGUUGGGAAAGAAAAGCAGUCGGCUAAUACCCGGUUGCUCUGCCGGUCCCCAACGCAUAAGCACCGGCUACUCUCGUGCCAGCAGCCGAGGUAAUACGAAGGGUGCAAGCGUUACUCGGAAUUACUGGGCGUAAAGCGUGCGUAGGUGGUUGUUUAAGUCGGUUGUGAAAGCCCUGGGCUCAACCUGGGAAUUGCAGUGGAUACUGGGCGACUAGAGUGUGGUAGAGGGUAGUGGAAUUCCCGGUGUAGCAGUGAAAUGCGUAGAGGUCGGGAGGAACAUCCAUGGCGAAGGUAGCUACCUGGACCAACACUGACACUGAGGCACGAAAGCGUGGGGAGCAAACAG